rnacentral:rRNA from 1 species
UACGUAGGGUGCGAGCGUUAAUCGGAAUUACUGGGCGUAAAGCGUGCGCAGGCGGUUUUGUAAGCCGGAUGUGAAAUCCCCGGGCUUAACCUGGGAAUGGCAUUCGGGACUGCAAAGCUGGAGUGCGGCAGAGGAGACUGGAAUUCCUGGUGUAGCAGUGAAAUGCGUAGAUAUCAGGAGGAACACCGAUGGCGAAGGCAGGUCUCUGGGCUGACACUGACGCUCAUGCACGAAAGCGUGGGGAGCAAACAGG